AAUAGAUACCCGGGUAGUCCACGCCGUAAACGAUGAGUGCUAAGUGUUAGAGGGUUUCCGCCCUUUAGUGCUGCAGCAAACGCAUUAAGCACUCCGCCUGGGGAGUACGGCCGCAAGGCUGAAACUCAAAGGAAUUGACGGGGGCCCGCACAAGCGGUGGAGCAUGUGGUUUAAUUCGAAGCAACGCGAAGAACCUUACCAGGUCUUGACAUCUCCUGACAACCCUAGAGAUAGGGAGUUCCCCUUCGGGGGACAGGAUGACAGGUGGUGCAUGGUUGUCGUCAGCUCGUGUCGUGAGAUGUUGGGUUAAGUCCCGCAACGAGCGCAACCCUUGAUCUUAGUUGCCAGCAUUCAGUUGGGCACUCUAAGGUGACUGCCGGUGACAAACCGGAGGAAGGUGGGGAUGACGUCAAAUCAUCAUGCCCCUUAUGACCUGGGCUACACACGUGCUACAAUGGAUGGUACAAAGGGCUGCGAGACCGCGAGGUUAAGCGAAUCCCAUAAAACCAUUCUCAGUUCGGAUUGCAGGCUG
rnacentral:rRNA from 1 species